rnacentral:sRNA from 1 species
GCGAUUAUUCGCACCAUUCCUCGAAUGGUGGGUUAGCGCGCGUCCGGAACAGACAAACAAACCCGCCCAGCCAGGCGGGUUUU